GCUUCCGACUCUGUCUGAGAGAGCAAAUGGCUAAGAAAGAAUUCUUGAGAUGGCUUUGGUGCAAAAAGGCGAUUUUAUUAAAGCGCAGGGACAGGACCCAUGGGCAGAAAGAGCCGCGCUGGGGUUGUGAAGAGUGAUUGAUUACAUAUUUUUAGGUUUGUGGAGGGAGAGGGAUAGAGAUAAAGUUUCUAAGGAAUUCAGAAGCAAGGCCUUCAGGACCUUGAGGGGCUAUUGUUAAGGUUACUUUUGGUCUAUUAAAGACCAAAUAUGACAAAAGACAAAAUAUGACAA